rnacentral:lncRNA from 1 species
GCAUUGGGGAGGAAGAAGAGAUGCAUUUACAAUUAUAAAAGAGAAAGUUCAGGCCACAUGAAAAAUAUAGUAGGAGUGUAGCUAUGCAGGCCAGGCCAAGUAUUGAUAUAGAUAUGCACACUAUGUUGUCUUAAACAUUAUUAAAGAUGAAUUGCAAUUUUUCCUGAUUCUUGGUGGUCCAAAACAGAAAGGUUAAACAGAACAACUUACAUGAUUUUACUAUUUAUAAAGGAAACCCACCCAGAUGUCAAAUGUUAAAAUCACUUUUCAUCACAGUUCAAACUGAAACAAAGCAGAAAGAGGACAGAAAUUCCUCAGAGAGGAAAAUGAGCUGGCAUUGGGUCUUUAGGACAACUUUCCUUUUCUAGCAUUUUAGGAAGAAAUCUUCCAAAGUUAUUUGUUUUUCAGAGUUUGAAAGUAACACUACAUGUGCAAACGUUCUAAUGAAUUUUCUUAAAAAAUACUCAGAAAUGUUUAAAAGUUUCAUAACAAUUGCAUUUUGUAUAUAUAUAGUCAAAUCUGACUUUACUAGACUCUGACAUUUUGGUUACAUUAAGUAAUCAUCCACAAUAAAAAUAUACAUAGAUAAUAGAUUUAUAACCACAUGGCUUCCAUUUGUUAAUGUUAGUGUACUGAACAACUGCAGAACAGAUAAAGAAAAUAUACAUUUGAGGGGGGGAAUUCUCAUUAUUGCCUG